AUCCAGAAGAUUCAAAUACGAAGCUAGAUCGAGGAAAGGAAAAAGUUCGGGAUUAAUAGAUUUUUACUGUUUACAAACAAGUAUCAAGGUAAGUUCAUGUAACUUGAAUUAUAUUCUUAAAUGCUUGAAAUGCAUGUUUUUGAUAUGAAUAUGAUUUGAAUGUUCAUUGUAUGAAAAUUUAUGAAACAUUGAUAUAUUUGAUAAAAUGGGAAGAAAUCCCGUUUGAAUGAAAGGAAAAUUCGAUGGAUCUCUGAAAAGGAAUUGACGGUAAAAAGGAUCUAGCCCGGACGGGUGAUCCUAUCCUGAUAUAGCCCUCCCGAAGAAUAUGUGUAAAAUGGAUUUAGCCCGGACGAGUAAUUCGAAUUAGGGUCUGAAUUUAGCCUGGACUGGUAAUUCAGAUCCAAGCUCAUUAGAGUAAUUGUCGUUGCAGGGGAUUUAGCCUGGACUGGUAAUCCCGACAAUACUCUAUGAGUUUAUAUUGCAGGGGAUUUAGCCUGGACUGGUAAUCCCGCUGCAAGGUUGAGGUUUGCGGGAGUGUGCUCUCUGAAAUGGAUAUGUGCGCACAUGAAUAUGAAUUGACGGACCCGGAAUUGUACACUAAAAGUGUACCUCUGAAAAUCCAUCGAAAUCCCGAUAAAUUCAACGGGAUAAAUAUGAAAAAUAAUAAGGGAAUGAAAAUCAUGGUAUUGAUGAGUACAUCAAUCAUGGUAUAUAUAUUAUUGAUACAUGGAAAUUAUUGUACUAACUUGAAUGUUGAGUUUGUGCAUGUUAGGGUAAUAAUGCAUUGAAUGGAUAUAUGAAUGUUUAUUAUAUUGUAUUGAAAAUAUUAGGUAAGUAUAAUUCUUGUUACAUGAGCUUACUAAGCACAAAGUGCUUACCCCGUUUCUUUUUUCCCUGUUUUGUAGUGUUAAGAGCUCGGAGGUCGGAUUUGGUCGGAGACACAUCACACUGUCAACCUCAAGAUUUCGGUAUAUAAAGAAACUUUAUUUUGGAAAUCAAUGGCAUGUAUAAGCUAACAAAGUAAAUGUUAACGUGAAAUGAAUGUAAAGUUAGCCAUUAGUAUGGUUAACAAACCUGGUUAUAGAUAUGUG
rnacentral:lncRNA from 1 species